GUAACUUUCAAAUUUGUACUGACGUAAAAUAAAAAUCAACGACUACUUUAAUAACCAAGCAAUUACUGUUAAACAUGAUUAAACACCCAAUUAUAUAAUUACGCCUUUAACGAUGCUCGAUUGUCUUUAAUGAGUUAUAUUUUUCAUAUUGGAAAAAUUUGUACCAAUCCUAAUACGACACCGAAUGAUUUCGAAAGAAUCGUCAAAGAUUCAGGCGUACUAUUACAAGAAUUUGAGUUUCUUCAGUGAACAAUUCAAUUAAAGAAUUCUUAAUAUUAAUAAUUGCGAAGCCUGUAGGCGAGGCAUGGCACAAAACAUGGGAAGCACUGGAUUAGAGGCUUAAAUCUCAGUUAAAACUAGGCGAGGCGACACUUCGGAAAUUAAACGGUAAUUUAGCGUUGAGUUGUUUAACAAUAAAGGGCAGUCAAUGUGUCUCAGUAGUCAAUGUGUUUAGACAGUACCGUGGUUAUAGUAACGAUGUUUUUACACAUAAAUAUAUUACAUAUAAAAACUCAUAUUUUUCUUCGUCAUUUUAUGAUAAAGGGAUAUGGUAUAGUUAUAUAUGGCAUACGUAAAAUAUUCGCGGGGUACGUAAAGGAAAAAAAAAGAGCGGGCCGGCCAAGAUGAAAGUGGGCUGAUGAUUUAAUAGAAAUAGCAGGAAAAGACUGCCAUACUAAAGGGCCAAGUGUCUAGAUAUAAGUAUAAGUUAAUAACACUACUAACAUUUGAAAUGGAACUUAAGGAUAUGGAAAUAAAAAAGGCUUUAUUAAUACGA